rnacentral:misc_RNA from 1 species
UCUCCGUUGGUGAACCAGCGGAGGGAUCAUUACAGGACUCGCAAGACUCCUACAACCCUGUGAACUUAACUAUAAGCACGUUGCUUCGGCGGGUGUCUCGGAGGGGUUCUCCCUCCCCGAGACGCUAAACCCGCCGGCAGCCUACUAUACUCUGUCUCUUUGCGUUGGCAUCUCGAGUACAAUCAAACAAGUUAAAACUUUCAACAACGGAUCUCUUGGUUCUG